rnacentral:rRNA from 1 species
UACGUAGGGUGCAAGCGUUAAUCGGAAUUACUGGGCGUAAAGCGUGCGCAGGCGGUGAUGUAAGACAGGUGUGAAAUCCCCGGGCUUAACCUGGGAACUGCAUUUGUGACUGCAUCGCUGGAGUGCGGCAGAGGGGGAUGGAAUUCCGCGUGUAGCAGUGAAAUGCGUAGAUAUGCGGAGGAACACCGAUGGCGGAAGGCAAUCCC